rnacentral:rRNA from 1 species
AUGGCCGUACCAUGCUGAAUAUACCGGUUCUCGUUAGAUUACCGAAGUCAAGCAUCAUUGGGCGCGGUCAGUACUUGGGUGGGUGACCACCUGGGAACACUGCGUGCCGUU